CCUACGGGAGGCAGCAGUAGGGAAUAUUGGGCAAUGGACGCAAGUCUGACCCAGCCAUGCCGCGUGCAGGAUGAAGGCGUUAUGCGUUGUAAACUGCUUUUAUACAGGAAGAAACGACUCUUGCGAGAAGCAUUGACGGUACUGUAUGAAUAAGCACCGGCUAACUCCGUGCCAGCAGCCGCGGUAAUACGGAGGGUGCAAGCGUUGUCCGGAUUUAUUGGGUUUAAAGGGUGCGCAGGUGGUUUAUUAAGUCAGUGGUGAAAGACGGUCGCUCAACGAUUGCAGUGCCAUUGAAACUGGUAGACUUGAGUAAAGUAGAGGUGGGCGGAAUUGAUAGUGUAGCGGUGAAAUGCAUAGAUAUUAUCAAGAACUCCAAUUGCGUAGGCAGCUCACUUGGCUUUUACUGACACUCAUGCACGAAAGUGUGGGUAUCAAACAGGAUUAGAUACCCUGGUAGUCCACACUGUAAACGAUGAUAACUAGGUGUCGGCCGAAUCUGGUCGGUGCCACAGCGAAAGCGUUAAGUUAUCCACCUGGGGAGUACGCCGGCAACGGUGAAACUCAAAGGAAUUGACGG
rnacentral:rRNA from 1 species